AAAUCAGCUAUAAAAAGCUUCUAACUUUUUUUUAAGCAAAUAAUUUUGUUUCUGAUUUU
rnacentral:tRNA from 1 species